CUGCUGCCUCCCGUAGGAGUCUGGGCCGUGUCUCAGUCCCAGUGUGGGGGGCCUUCCUCUCAGAACCCCUACGCAUCGUCGCCACGGUGGGCCGUCACCCCGCCGUCUAGCUAAUGCGCCGCAUGCCCAUCCGCCACCGGAUCGCUCCUUUGGCCACCGGAGGAUGCCCUCCGGUGGCGUCACGGGGUAUUAGGCCGCGUUUCCGCGGGUUAUCCCCCUGUUGGCGGCCAGGUUCGCAUACGUGUUACUCACCCGUGCGCCGGUCGCCGGCGGG
rnacentral:rRNA from 1 species